rnacentral:rRNA from 1 species
UUACUUGUUACCCUCUGGUUGAUAUGGUGGGCAAGGAGGAAAGUCAUUCAUGAGGAGCAGUUUCAGUCACCUCUAACUACUUUUUCUUUCAUAAAAGGGUAUCUACAGGACAUACAUGAGGCCGAGCUAGUCCAUCUCCGGCCUGCAGUCCAACAUCCGAGAAUGCAUGUACGUCAUCGGGCCACAUGGAGACCACCUGCAGCGGGUUCAAUUAAAAUUCAUGUUGACGCUGCGGUCGGGAGGCACGGUGAUAGGGGGGCCUUUGCUGCUAUUUGCCGAGAUGAUUCAGGUAACUUUUUGGGUGCGUCGGCGGUUUCUGUUGCUGAACUCAUUUUACCGGAGGUUCUGGAGGCCAUGGCAGCAAAUGAGGCUCUUUCUCUAGCAAAGGAUCUUGCCUGCACUCGGAUUGUGGUGGCUACUGAUUGUCUGAAUACAGUGAUCCACCUCAAGUCUGAUUAUUUGGGAGCUUCUAAAGCAAUCAUCUUUGAGCUGAGGAAGAGUUUGAAGGAUUUUGCUUCGGCCGAUGAUUUGCACGAGAAAAGAGACUCAAAUUUAGAAGCACAUUCCUUAGCUAAAGCUGCUAUUUCUUUACCUUUUGGUAGACAUGUUUGGCUGGCUGUGAAGCCAAACUUAAUCUGUAUCCCUGACAAUAUUCUGAGUUAA